UAUAUAUAUAUAUAUAUAUAUAUAUAUAUAUAUAUAUAUAUAAGCGUAUAGGAAUUCCGACAAUGACAGACGGAAUCCAAAAAUGAAUAAAAUAAUAUUCCCUACGAAUGGUUAUGAUUAAUUUGUUAAAAAUAUCUCAAAUAAAAACAAACGGUUAUGAUCCAUCUAUAUCUAUACUAUAUAUAAAAGCGUAUAGGAAUUCCGACAAUGACAGACGAAAUCCAAAAGGGAAUAAAAUAAUAUUCCCUACGAAUGGUUAUGAUUAAUUUGUUAAAAAUAUCUCAAAUAAAAACAAACGGUUAUGAUCCAUCUAUAUCUAUACUAUAUAUAAAAGCGUAUAGGAAUUCCGACAAUGACAGACGAAAUCCAAAAGGGAAUAAAAUAAUAUUCCCUACGAAUGGUUAUGAUUAAUUUGUUAAAAAUAUCUCAAAUAAAAACAAACGGUUAUGAUCCAUCUAUAUCUAUACUAUAUAUAAAAGCGUAUAGGAAUUCCGACAAUGACAGACGAAAUCCAAAAGGGAAUAAAAUAAUAUUCCCUACGAAUGGUUAUGAUUAAUUUGUUAAAAAUAUCUCAAAUAAAAACAAACGGUUAUGAUCAAUCUAUUAAAUUUCUAUUGUAUUAAAAAAAAUAAUAAUAAUAUUCCCUAUGAAUGGUUAUGAUUAAUUUAUUAAAAAUAUUUCAAAUAAAAACGAACGAUUAUGAUCAAUCUAUUAAAUCUCUACUGUAUAUAAAAAUCUAUUCCCUACAAAUGAUUAUAAUCAAUGUGUUAAAAAAAUAUCUCAAAUAAAAUAGUUAUAAUUAAUCUAUUAAAAAAUAGCAUUUCUAUCUAUUUAUAAAUUCAAUCCUAUGAACAAUUAUAAUCAAUUUGUUAGAAAAUAUCUCAAAUAAAAAUAAAAAAAAAAUAGCAUUCCUAUUCAUCUAUUUUAUAUUAAAAUUAAAAUUUGAGUUUAAAUUAUGAAUUAAAUUUAAUUUUUUAUAUCAAAUUUGAAUUAACAAUUAAUUUUUUUAUUACAGUGGAUCAAUAUUAAAUUUU
rnacentral:lncRNA from 1 species